CUUAGAGUUUGAUCCUGGCUCAAGAUGAACGCUGGCGGCGUGCCUAACACAUGCAAGUCGAACGGAGUUCUUAAGGAAUGCGACUUCGGUCAAAUGACUUUUGAACUUAGUGGCGGACGGGGUGAGUAACGCGUGAGCAACCUGCCUUUCAGAGGGGGAUAACAUUUGGAAACAGAUGCUAAUACCGCAUAAGAUUACAGUACCGCAUGAUACAGUGAUCAAAGGAGCAAUCCGCUGAAAGAUGGGCUCGCGUCCGAUUAGAUAGUUGGUGAGGUAACGGCUCACCAAGUCGACGAUCGGUAGCCGGACUGAGAGGUUGAACGGCCACAUUGGGACUGAGACACGGCCCAGACUCCUACGGGAGGCAGCAGUGGGGAAUAUUGCACAAUGGGCGAAAGCCUGAUGCAGCAACGCCGCGUGAGGGAAGACGGUUUUCGGAUUGUAAACCUCUGUUUUCGGUGACGAACAAAUGACGGUAACCGAGUAGGAAGCCACGGCUAACUACGUGCCAGCAGCCGCGGUAAUACGUAGGUGGCAAGCGUUAUCCGGAAUUACUGGGUGUAAAGGGAGCGCAGGCGGGAUAGCAAGUCAGCUGUGAAAACUAUGGGCUCAACCCAUAAAUUGCAGUUGAAACUGUUAUUCUUGAGUGGAGUAGAGGCAAGCGGAAUUCCGAGUGUAGCGGUGAAAUGCGUAGAUAUUCGGAGGAACACCAGUGGCGAAGGCGGCUUGCUGGGCUCUAACUGACGCUGAGGCUCGAAAGUGUGGGGAGCAAACAGGAUUAGAUACCCUGGUAGUCCACACUGUAAACG
rnacentral:rRNA from 1 species